rnacentral:tRNA from 1 species
CAGGGAGACAAAAACUGAUUCAUGAUGUUUGGGUAAUUUAUUCUCAAACCAUGAUCCUGUCACCUUAGGUCGAUCGGUACCUCAAUUUGAUUAUUUAUCUUUAAGGCUAAAAGCUUUUGGUAGAAAAUAAUUAACUUCAGUUCCUAAACUUUGUCUAGGUCACACCCAACAAGGGUACUCCUGGGCCAUUAGCUCAGGUGGUUAGAGCGCACCCCUGAUAAGGGUGAGGUCCCUGGUUCAAGUCCAGGAUGGCCCAUUCGGUUUUGGGGGGGUAUAGCUCAGUUGGUAGAGCGCCUGCUUUGCAAGCAGGAUGUCAGCGGUUCGAGUCCGCUUACCUCCACUGAUCGAAACUCUUGAUGGCGAGAUCAAAGGAGCUUCCUUUGUUAAUUGUGAUUUAGAUUAAAAUUCAAUUGAAUGAACCUAGCUUCCUUUCAUUCCUUAUACAUAAUUAAUAGAAUCUUGUUUAGGUUGAAAAGAUGCUGGGCUCUCUGAAAUCACUAAUGAUUUCAGAUAAGUUCAGUAGAACCUUGAAAACUGCAUAGUGAGUCUGGAAAAAUAAAAGCAUCUCAUAGAUGUACUAAUUCCAGUGUCUAAGUUUGAAAUUCUGUUUUCCAGUAUUCAAACUUUGAUAUCUUUAAUUAGUUUAAUUCUUUAGUAAGAGCCGAGUCUCUAUAGGCUUUAAUCUAUUUAGAUACCUAUUAAUUUAGUUGUGUAUAAAUGAUUAGGAGCUGCUAUAGAGAUUAUUU